rnacentral:rRNA from 1 species
GUACGGCCGCAAGGUUAAAACUCAAAUGAAUUGACGGGGGCCCGCACAAGCGGUGGAGCAUGUGGUUUAAUUCGAUGCAACGCGAAGAACCUUACCUGGUCUUGACAUCCACGGAAGUUUUCAGAGAUGAGAAUGUGCCUUCGGGAACCGUGAGACAGGUGCUGCAUGGCUGUCGUCAGCUCGUGUUGUGAAAUGUUGGGUUAAGUCCCGCAACGAGCGCAACCCUUAUCCUUUGUUGCCAGCGGUCCGGCCGGGAACUCAAAGGAGACUGCCAGUGAUAAACUGGAGGAAGGUGGGGAUGACGUCAAGUCAUCAUGGCCCUUACGACCAGGG